GUUGGGUAGGGGAGCGUUCUGUAAGCCUGUGAAGGUGUGUCGUGAGGCAUGCUGGAGGUAUCAGAAGUGCGAAUGCUGACAUAAGUAACGAUAAAGCGGGUGAAAAGCCCGCUCGCCGGAAGACCAAGGGUUCCUGUCCAACGUUAAUCGGGGCAGGGUGAGUCGACCCCUAAGGCGAGGCCGAAAGGCGUAGUCGAUGGGAAACGGGUUAAUAUUCCCGUACUUGGUGUUACUGCGAAGGGGGGACGGAGAAGGCUAUGUUGGCCGGGCGACGGUUGUCCCGGUUUAAGCGUGUAGGUGUGUGUUCCAGGUAAAUCCGGUUCACUUUAACACUGAGGCGUGACGACGAGGCACUACGGUGCUGAAGCAACAAAUGCCCUGCUUCCAGGAAAAGCCUCUAAGCAUCAGGUAACAUCAAAUCGUACCCCAAACCGACACAGGUGGUCAGGUAGAGAAUACCAAGGCGCUUGAGAGAACUCGGGUGAAGGAACUAGGCAAAAUGGUGCCGUAACUUCGGGAGAAGGCACGCUGACACGUAGGUGAAGUGAUUUACUCAUGGAGCUGAAGUCAGUCGAAGAUACCAGCUGGCUGCAACUGUUUAUUAAAAACACAGCACUGUGCAAACACGAAAGUGGACGUAUACGGUGUGACGCCUGCCCGGUGCCGGAAGGUUAAUUGAUGGGGUCAGCGCAAGCGAAGCUCCUGAUCGAAGCCCCGGUAAACGGCGGCCGUAACUAUAACGGUCCUAAGGUAGCGAAAUUCCUUGUCGGGUAAGUUCCGACCUGCACGAAUGGCGUAAUGAUGGCCAGGCUGUCUCCACCCGAGACUCAGUGAAAUUGAACUCGCUGUGAAGAUGCAGUGUACCCGCGGCAAGACGGAAAGACCCCGUGAACCUUUACUAUAGCUUGACACUGAACAUUGAGCCUUGAUGUGUAGGAUAGGUGGGAGGCUUUGAAGCGUGGACGCCAGUCUGCAUGGAGCCGACCUUGAAAUACCACCCUUUAAUGUUUGAUGUUCUAACGUGGACCCGUGAUCCGGGUUGCGGACAGUGU
rnacentral:rRNA from 1 species